CCUAGCGGUCCGAGUUGUAAUUUGCAGAGGAUGCUUUUGGUGCGGUGCCUUCCGAGUUCCCUGGAACGGGACGCCGGAGAGGGUGAGAGCCCCGUACGGUUGGACACCUACCCUAUACAUAGCUCCUUCGACGAGUCGAGUAGUUUGGGAAUGCUGCUCUAAAUGGGAGGUAAAUUUCUUCUAAAGCUAAAUACCGGCCAGAGACCGAUAGCGCACAAGUAGAGUGAUCGAAAGAUGAAAAGCACUUUGAAAAGAGGGUUAAAUAGCACGUGAAAUUGUUGAAAGGGAAGCGUUUGCGACCAGACCUUUUCCAGGCGGAUCAUCCGGCGUUCUCGCCGGUGCACUCCGCCUGGUCUAGGCCAGCAUCGGUUUCCUUAGGGGGAUAAAGGCCUGGGGAACGUAGCUCUUCAGGGAGUGUUAUAGCCCCUAGCGUAAUACCCUUCAGGGGACCGAGGACCGCGCUUCGGCAAGGAUGCUGGCGUAAUGGUCGUCAACGACCCGUCUUGAAACACGGACCAAGGAGUCGAACAUUUGUGCGAGUGUUUGGGUGUCAAACCCUCACGCGUAAUGAAAGUGAACGGAGGUGAGAGCCCUUACGGGUGCAUCAUCGACCGAUCCUGAAGUCUUCGGAUGGAUUUGAGUAAGAGCAUAACUGUUCGGACCCGAAAGAUGGUGAACUAUGCGUGGAUAGGGUGAAGCCAGAGGAAACUCUGGUGGAGGCUCGCAGCGGUUCUGACGUGCAAAUCGAUCGUCAAAUCUGCGCAUGGGGGCGAAAGACUUAUCGAACCAUCUAGUAGCUGGUUACCGCCGAAGUUUCCCUCAGGAUAGCAGUGUUGUCUUCAGUUUUAUGAGGUAAAGCGAAUGAUUAGGGACUCGGGGGCGCUAUUUUGCCUUCAUCCAUUCUCAAACUUUAAAUAUGUAAGAAGCCCUUGUUGCUUAAUUGAACGUGGGCAUUCGAAUGUAUCAACACUAGUGGGCCAUUUUUGGUAAGCAGAACUGGCGAUGCGGGAUGAACCGAACGCGGGGUUAAGGUGCCAGAGUGGACGCUCAUCAGACACCACAAAAGGUGUUAGUACAUCUUGACAGCAGGACGGUGGCCAUGGAAGUCGGAAUCCGCUAAGGACUGUGUAACAACUCACCUGCCGAAUGUACUAGCCCUGAAAAUGGAUGGCGCUCAAGCGUCUCACCCAUACCUCGCCCUUAGGGUAGAAACGAUGCCCUAAGGAGUAGGCGGCCG
rnacentral:rRNA from 1 species